CAACCCUCCAGCUCCGCUGGGUGUUGGGGAUCUACGGAGACGUAGGCCCUGAAAAUCAGUGGCGGGCUCGCGCAUACCCGGACGUAGUAACACUGUCGUCUAGGGGCUGCCGCGGGUGCUGGCCGUGAAACCCGACGCAAGUCAUUUUCGAA
rnacentral:misc_RNA from 2 species